AGCCAGCAGCCGCGGUAAUACGUAGGUGGCAAGCGUUGUCCGGAAUUACUGGGCGUAAAGCGCGCGUAGGCGGGUAUUUAAGUCAGGAGUGAAAACUAUCGGCUCAACCGGUAGCCUGCUCUUGAAACUGGAUACCUUGAGGGUAUGAGAGGAAAGCGGAAUUCCCAGUGUAGCGGUGAAAUGCGUAGAUAUUGGGAGGAACACCAGUGGCGAAGGCGGCUUUCUGGCAUACAACUGACGCUGAGGUGCGAAAGCGUGGGGAGCAAACGGGAUUAGAUACCCCGGUAGUCCACGCCGUAAACGAUGGGUACUAGGUGUAGGAGGUAUCGACCCCUUCUGUGCCGUAGUUAACACAAUAAGUACCCCGCCUGGGGAGUACGGCCGCAAGGUUGAAACUUAAAGGAAUUGGCGGGGGA
rnacentral:rRNA from 1 species